UAAAGAACUACUACAUAAGUUAAUUGUAAUAUUUUUAUCAUCAUUUACUUACAAUAAUAUUUAAAUAUAAAGAUAAGUAAAUAAGUAAUAUUUAAAUAUAAAGAUAAGUUCUUCGCAGACCGGUCAAAUUUCUCCGCGGACUGGUGCUGGUCUGCCGGACCAGCAGUUGAGAAAUGCUGUCUUGGUGCAUUGUUAAUUGCUUUCUUUUGGGUGGUCCUCUGUUCAACGGGUGCUUCCGGGGGUGCGGUGUGUCUUGUGCUGGGUGGUUGUUGAGCGGUUUCUCGUCUCUCCUAUUGGUGUGUGUUUCCAUAGCUUCUGUGAGGACUGCGUGUUUGCUCUUCUUUGGGGGCCUGACUAUUUUUGCCGCCUGCCAAUCUAUCAACGGGUCACAUUCGUGGGCUGCUGGACAAAU
rnacentral:lncRNA from 1 species